rnacentral:rRNA from 1 species
AUGAACGCUGGCGGCGUGCCUAAUACAUGCAAGUCGAGCGAACAGACGAGGAGCUUGCUCCUCUGACGUUAGCGGCGGACGGGUGAGUAACACGUGGAUAACCUACCUAUAAGACUGGGAUAACUUCGGGAAACCGGAGCUAAUACCGGAUAAUAUAUUGAACCGCAUGGUUCAAUAGUGAAAGACGGUUUUGCUGUCACUUAUAGAUGGAUCCGCGCCGCAUUAGCUAGUUGGUAAGGUAACGGCUUACCAAGGCAACGAUGCGUAGCCGACCUGAGAGGGUGAUCGGCCACACUGGAACUGAGACACGGUCCAGACUCCUACGGGAGGCAGCAGUAGGGAAUCUUCCGCAAUGGGCGAAAGCCUGACGGAGCAACGCCGCGUGAGUGAUGAAGGUCUUCGGAUCGUAAAACUCUGUUAUUAGGGAUGAACAAAUGUGUAAGUAACUAUGCACGUCUUGACGGUACCUAAUCAGAAAGCCACGGCUAACUACGUG